GGUCUUGGUUCUGGGUUUAUCAGAAUGCGGUAGCACCAGACUUGAUGUCUACAAGAACCGUCCUGCUAAUGUCUUCUGAAGAUUAGAGAAAUACUUCCAGGUUCCUUAGGUUCAGGACUUUCUUCUUUUGAAAGACAAUGGUCCUUUCCAUCAAUGACCCACCAAGGAUGGAGAAGGACAGAAACCACAUGGCUGCGAGGAUAUUAGACCUCACCCUGGAGAUCGUCUCCUUGAUAACUGGAGAGGAUUACACAGUAGUGAAGAAGUCGUCUGGUGAGUGUGUGACACCCCGUGUGUC